UACAGAGGGUGCAAGCGUUAAUCGGAAUUACUGGGCGUAAAGGGCGCGUAGGUGGUUAUGUAAGUAAGAUGUGAAAUCCCCGGGCUUAACCUGGGAACUGCGUCUUAGACUGCAUAGCUGGAGUACAAUAGAGGGUAGUGGAAUUUCCGGUGUAGCGGUGAAAUGCGUAGAUAUCGGAAGGAACACCAGUGGCGAAGGCGGCUACCUGGAUUGAUACUGACACUGAGGCGCGAAAGCGUGGGGAGCAAACAGG
rnacentral:rRNA from 1 species